GUGACAGACUGGGUGGGCCUGAGCAGCCCUCCAGCCCAGCCCCUGCUUUACGAGGAGAAAACUGAGGCCGAGGACCACACAGGUGCUGAGGCCACUCAGGACCACCUGUGGCUUACAGCUCAGCAGAAGACGGGACUUGGACUGCACUAAAGCCACAUGACACCCUGCCAGGAACGGGGGGGAAGGUCCAGAGGUGGGAGAGAACACAGCCAGCCCCUGAGUGCAGCCAAGGGGAGACUGGUGGAGAGGAGACUGGGCUCCCAGAGAAGGUACCGGCUGGCUGGCUGGCAGCUGAGAAUAGCUGCGGGUGACGCAGGGGAGGGGACAGCAAAGGACCAGAAGUGAGCCUUCAAGAGCUCCUUGUGCAGAUGGGCGAGAGAGGUAAGUGGGGGACAGAUGGCAAAAGGGAACCUUAUUUGUUACCCUGGCACAUGCCAGGCACCAUCCUGGACAUGGGGAAUACAGAAGUGAGUACGUUCAGAGCCUUGUGUGGGGAAACAAAAGAUGUAAACAGACGGUUCCCCGGGUGUCAGAAGGGCUGGGGGAACAGCCCCCAGCAGGUGCCUUGGGGCACAAGGAGGGCCUGCCCCCAGCCACAUGGGACAACUCGCUCCAGACCAGCAGCCGGCUUGCUGCGAUGAUGGGAAAAUACAGAAAUUGCUCGGUGCCCAACAGCUCAGGGGUGGUGAAAAAAAAAAUGCCCGAGAGAAAGGUGACUGGGUGGGAUAAUGAAUGUUUUGCUGAAGAGGAAAAUAUUAGUUUGUGCAGCUCAGUAUGCAAACACCUCAACUAACAAAACGGCUCAGAGGAAGCAAGGGGCACCACGGGCUUUUUCCUCACAAAGAUUAAAAAAGAAAAAGACAGCAGUCACAAACAGACCUCCUCGGUGGCUGAAAGCACAUUCCCCACCAGGUGAGAAAACCA